ACACAUCAUCCUCGGGGUCGCCCGAUCCAAUCAGUGCACCAUCCAUGGUCUCCUCCUCGCUUUGCCCGCCAAGCCAACCGCAGUGCACGGCCAUCCGCAACUCCCUGAGUCUGCACGCCCGCGGAGCCGGUCUACCAAGGCCUCGUCGCGCCACAUCCAUCCCAUGAUUGCCGGUUCCUCGCCGCCGGCAAGAUUCUUCGCAGAUGAGCUCCGUUGGCCCUCCUCUUCCCUCUCUUUUCUCUUCUAGUUCAUCUCCUUCCCCUCAUCUCGAGCGACUUGUCUCAUAUUCUCCUGCAGGUCAGAGCCAUGGACACCUGAAGAAAUCGCCGAUCAUCUCCUUGCCAUCCUCCUGCGCGAACGCAGCUGUGCCAUCCAAUUCUUGCAGUCAGCCGCUUCUCCCCGCACUGGAGCCGUUCAAAGCCGCUGCCGCCCGAGCACGUCUUCUCGCGCCGUGUGCUGCCCUGCAACGAGCGAUCGAGGAGGACGAGCCUUGACACCCAACGCCUCGCUUCCUCUGCACGCAUGUGUGCGCCACCUCUGCUCGGCCCCAUCGUCGUUACCCCCUCUUCCGGCAACUCCGAUGAGCAGAAAGUCAACCCUGCAGCUCACCUGCUUCCUUCCCUCUUCUUAAUUCUUCUUCUUCGCUAGUUCUCUCCUCUGCCUCCCUCUCAAUUUUGUCUCCCAUGCAGAUCCUUCAUGUAUGGCUGCCCGAGUUCAAGUGGACGCAGCCGCCGGAGCUCCGUCCGCGCCCAUAUCCGGCAAGCCCGCGCCGCCUCGGAUCCAUUCCCGGCCUCCCCAGCUCCCGACUCGUCCGGAUCUGGCCGAUCCGGAAAGAUUUUCUAGUGCCGCCGCUGUCCAGGAGGAAGGCAUGCCCGAGAUCCAGCAACAACACAGAGGGACAUCUCUGUUUUUGCGCUUUCAGUUUGGUUCAGUUAGCAUCUAGGUAUGGUUCAACUAGAGAAAACCCCAUGUUACAUCAAUGUCCGCUCGUAGCUUCGGGGUCACAUGUACUUACACACAGCGAGACGUAUUGGGUGGAAGUCCAGAGCACAAUUUUUGCUCGUUUCUGCUUAUUAUUGUACACAAGCGCAGAAGACCUGAUCCACACACCGGGCCAGUGCACAACGCUGAGACCGACCCGUAGAUGUUUUUUGCCCCGGUGAUUAGUACUUCCUCCGUUCCAAAAUUCUUCUCUUAGAUUUGUUUAAAAACUAAUGUAUCUAAUUAUUAAAACAUGACUAGAUAUAUUUAUAUUUAGAUAAAUCUAAGACAAUAAUUUUAGAAUGGAGGAGUAUUUCUUUUCGAGUGCAUUGCAUGUUUAUAAUUGUCAUCAUCUUAAAUUGGUUAUAACCAUGCAUCAUAUUAAAACAUGUCGUAUUUGUAAAAUGUAUAAAAUUUUGUCUAGUUUCACAAUAAGCAACUUUCAUCCCUGUUAGAAACUUUUAACUCGUUGUUUGCUUAAAUUUGCAUCAAUUGCCAUGUUAAAAUGAUUUAUUUCAUAUAUUUCAACCGUAACUCCGUUUGCAGUGAUCUCUAUAUAUAAACCGACUAGAAUGACGUGUAGAAUCACAUGCUUCACUUUAUUUUGUUGUUUAAUAAAUUUCAAAUAUGAUUAAAUUAGAUCUGGACAGAUUUUGAAAUUAACAUAUGGGUUUAUUUCGGACACGCUAUAUGUUGUUUCUGAGCUCAUUUAAUAUACCUAGAUAGUGUACAUAUUUAUGCUUCACCUCUUGUCAUGUUAACACCAUUUAAUAUUGUCGUGUACCUAAAUGAGAGCGAACUAAGUAAUUAAAUGUGGAUUUUCGUCAAUAUGCAACGAGUUGCAUAUUGAGCUUCAUUAAAUGUGUUGUAAUAAAUUGUUGUGCUUUGUCUUGCCAUGCAUAAUUAAAUCGAUCAUGCAUCAGAUGUGUUGUGCAUUAUGUCAUGCAUAUGUUGUGGUAGUAUUGUGUGUUGAUCGUUGUUCCAGAUUGUUUCUUCUCGAUAGAGUUCCGCAAGCAUGUCGAAGUGUGAGGAUUUGUUUGACUAUGUCGGUUCGUCUGCUUCACGGAUUCGUUCUUCUUUCAAGAAGGAUCUCAUGCAAGAUGAUCAUUUCCCUAAAUGUCAGCCUCCCAACAUUGUCAUGAAAAGCCUCUAACCUUUUCCACAACCCAGCAAACCACUGUUUGUCUAUGUUAUCGCUUGCUCAGCCUUCUUAUAGCAUUACUAGUUACAGGUGCAGUUGCUUCCAUGUGAAAACAUGGGUUCUUUGUUAUAUCAUCAUAUUAUUGCUAAUUAAUUAAUGCACCUAUAUACUUGGUAAAAAGUGGAAGGCUUGGCCUUCUAGCCUGGUGUUUUGUUCCACCUUUGUUGCCUUAGUUUCGGCUACCUGCAUUAUGUUCCAUAAUUGAGCGCUCCUAACAUGCGUGGGGUUGUUAUGAAGACCCCUUGAUAAUUCGUUUUAGUUUAAAACUUGUCUGGCAAGGCUCAACUUUGGUACUACAUUUUCCUAAUAACUAAUAAAAUUGUAUAGGGACUUUCAAGACCCCAUGGAUAAUUAAUCAACAACCUCGGUCAGUGCUACUCAUGAGUGUUGCUCCAAAAUGGGCUACGUGCGGGGCCACCGUGAGGAAACUCGAGGACUGGUUUUACUCGUAACUAGUCCCAUCCAGUCGUGUCCUGAGAGCAAGAUACACGGCUCCUAUCGGGUUCGUCGACAAGUCAGGCGGCCUUGUUGGACUUGUUUUUUCUUUUAUGAGAUAUCUUGUGCGAGGGAUUUCGAGGAUACUUCGGGCUAUCUCGAAGAACGUUCAUUCAUUUCAUCAUCAUCACUCACGUCCAUUUAUGCAUAGAUCAUCCCCCCCUUCAUUCUUGUACUCGUAAGUUAGCCAUUUAAAAAAAAUAUUAGUCCCUUGCUGCAUCCUUACCACUUAACCAAAACUCACUCAUUAAGUUUUGUUAGUCUUAAUACCUUUGCAAAUGAGAUUGUUGAGUCCCUGUGGCUCACUAAUUACUACAACAAUAGUUGCAUGUACAUGUAAAGUGAUACAUUGACGUGAUCGCGAUGCUUUUUCUAUUUGGAGUUUCUUUUUCUUCUUCUGCAUCGAUCUAGGACGGGUUCCAGGCCGGCAUCCUGGGAUAGCAAGGAUGGACGUUGUUAUUUUAUCAUUUAUUUUCGUCCGUAGUCGGACCCUGCACUUCUACAUGGUGUUUGAAUAUGUUAUUGUAUUGAUGUGAACUUGAUGUAGAUUGUGGUGAG
rnacentral:lncRNA from 1 species